rnacentral:rRNA from 1 species
CCUACGGGAGGCAGCAGUGAGGAAUAUUGGUCAAUGGCCGAGAGGCUGAACCAGCCAAGUCGCGUGAGGGAAGAAGGCCCUACGGGUUGUAAACCUCUUUUGUCGGGGAGCAAAGAGAGUCACGUGUGACUCAUUGAGAGUACCCGAAGAAAAAGCAGCGGCUAACUCCGUGCCAGCAGCCGCGGUAAUAUGGAGGAUGCGAGCGUUAUCCGUAUUUAUUGGGUGAAAGGGGUGCGCAGGCGGAGGUGCAAGUCAGCGGUAAACUUGCGGGGCUCAACCCCGUACUGCCGUUGAAACUGCAUCCCUUGAGUGCGCGAGAAGUAUGCGGAAUGCGUGGUGUAGCGGUGAAAUGCAUAGAUAUCACGCAGAACUCCGAUGGCGAAGGCAGCAUACCGGCGCGCAACUGACGCUCAUGCACGAAAGCGUGGGUAUCGAACAGGAUUAGAUACCCUUGUAGUC